rnacentral:rRNA from 1 species
UACGUAGGUGGCAAGCGUUGUCCGGAUCUACUGGGCGUAAAGAGCGCGCAGGCGGUCGUUCAAGUCGCGUGUGAAAGCCCCCGGCUCAACUGGGGAGGGUCACGCGAUACUGAUCGACUCGAAGGCAGGAGAGGGAAGUGGAAUUCCCGGUGUAGUGGUGAAAUGCGUAGAUAUUGGGAAGAACACCGGUGGCGAAGGCGGCUCUCUGGACCGACACUGACGCUGAGGCGCGAAAGCGUGGGGAGCAAACAGG